CCACCCCGCCUCGCCCAGAUCUGCCGAGUGGGUGUCCUGUCUCCGGCGUUCUUGAGCACCAUUGGGUCGAGGAAGGAGAAGCCAUCCUAUGGACUAGAACAGUUUGUGUGAGAUUUUAUUUUCUG